ACACCAAAAGGCCCUAGUUCUGUAGAAGACAUUAAAGCAAAAAUGCAAGCAAGUAUAGAAAAAGGUGGUUCUCUUCCCAAAACGGAAGCCAAGUUAAUCAAUUAUGUGAAGAAUUCCUUCUGGAUGACUGAGCAGGAGGCUAUUCAAGAUCUCUGGCAGUGAAGAAAGUCUCUUUAAGAAAAUAGUUUAAACAGCUUGUUGAAAUUUUCUAUCUUAUUUCAUUUCUGUAACAGU
rnacentral:lncRNA from 1 species